GUGGGUGACUGUACGAGCAGUGUAUAGUUACAACUUUGACAUUUCAUAAACGGCUGAUUGCGCGGCAGUGCGCCGCUGCUACAUGCAUUUAGCAGAAACCC